rnacentral:rRNA from 1 species
GACGAACGCUGGCGGUGUGCUUAAUACAUGCAAGUCGAACGGCUCUUCGGAGCAGUGGCGGACGGCUGAGUAACGCGUAGGUAACGUGCCUCUUACUGGGGGAUAACAUCGGGAAACUGGUGCUAAUACCGCAUAAGUCACGAGUUGAAAUACUUGUGAUAAAGAAUUUCGGUAAGAGAUCGGCCUGCGUCUGAUUAGCUAGUUGGUAGGGUAAUGGCCUACCAAGGCGAUGAUCAGUAGUUGGUCUGAGAGGAUGACCAGCCAGAGUGGGACUGAGAACGGCCCACACUUCUACGGAAGGCAGCAGUAGGGAAUUUUGCGCAAUGGGCGAAAGCCUGACGCAGCAACACCGCGUGCGGGAUGAAGGCCUUCGGGUCGUAAACCGCUGUCGGCAGGGAAUAAAUUGACUGUACCUGCAAAGGAAGCACCGGCUAACUACGUGCCAGCAGCCGCCGUAA